UUAUACUUGCCAGCAAUGUCCAGGAGUUCGCCUCAAAUACAUUAAAUAUUACACUCUAAAAAGUGCUGGGUUAUUUCUGUAAACACAUUGCUGGGUUAAUUGUGCUGGGUCAAAAUUCUGGGUUGUUUGAGGUACUGUAAACACACAGUUGGGUUGAUCAUGCUGGGUCAAAUGGACUUUCACCGCUGAACACGCAGAUUGUGUUAUUUUAACCGGUUUGUUUAUUUUUCCACUUCAUCGAACUUUCUGGAUUCUUCACUCGUCUCCUCAUCAGGCGGUCACGAAAUUCGCAGCAAGCAGCAUUAUUUGCUUGAAAACCAGAUCCCUCCGUCCACCAUAGUUUCCUCAAGAUUUGUGUUGCCAGCUGAGCGCUGGUGCUGACGCGGCUAGUGGCUAAUUUAUAAACCAGGCUCUACAUCCAAAGCGAUCGCACUGAAUGCGCCUCUCUUUAUGUGAUCAGUGAAUUCUGCAACGCGCGCUUUGAGCAGACGCUUUUUGAGCAGCGCAGACCAUGCACCCCCGGUUAAAAAAAAUCCCAUCUGCGCCCCUGCUUACAGGUACAUAUUAGUACUUUAAAAGAACAUAUUUGUAUCUUUUCACUUUGUACCUUAGGGUAUCUUUUUUGACAGUGUGUUCGUAAAAUCAUAUCAUACACUGUGUAUUUCAGUGUAUUUCAGUUUUUGUGCUGUAUUAUUUUUAGUAGUGUUAGGAGGAGAAUUAGACUUUACAGUUGUAAAAGUAGCAUAAAGAAGCAGAAACUGAAGAACAAGUAUUAAUACUACACGCUAAUAUAAAUAUUUAGAACUGAAAAUAAGAAAUAAAUCCAAAUCUCCGCAUGUGUGACAUCCGCAAUAAACAGCAUCGUAGACAACAGUCCAGGAACAGGGAAAAUAAUACAGUGUUUAAAUGUAUUAGGUAGAAUAUCCACACUCCAGUACAGCAGGUGACAGAAACUGUUCAACUCCUUCAAAACCCCUAGACAAAAACAAAAGUAACUGCGGAAAACACACAGAUAGCAAGAGAAAGCAUUUGUGAUUGGAUUUAUGUCCUAGAAAACAUUUUUGUAGAUACAACUUUAGCCCAGACCCUACUCAUUUUAACACUCGGGGACAUAUGUUUAUAUGUAAAUAUGUUUUUGCAUAUUUAAUCCGAUCCGUCUGUACUAUUGAGAGAUUUGAGAAGAAAUUGCUGACAAACUACAGGACUAAAGGACAGAAAAAUGAGCGUUUCUAAUAAAUUCUCUUCUUAGUGGACAAGACUGUAGGUCAAACUGAACAGCAGAUUGUUUUCUCAACCCAAUUCAUUCUUCAGCUCAAUCUCAUAUUCACAAUAAAACAUUUCGGUCAUGACAACUGUCAGAGGGAUUGGAAUGGUAAUGUGCAUGAUAAUGUAAAUGUAUUUGGUAUUGGCAGAAUAGAUCUGCUACGCUGAUGCUGCUGCUGUUUACCGAGACUUGCUACUGC